CUGAUCACCCGCGCACCCCGUGUACAAAUAAUGAAAGCAUCCAAUUCAAAACGCGAGGUUUUUGUGUAGUGUGUAUAACCAACUACGGCUGCAGAAUAUACAGAGUCUCUGGUGUUGAUGGAAAGGAUUGUUUACCUAGAGGCAGCUUGGUAUGACAUGUUGCAAAGCAUUCUGUUUGAUUAACAGAUAAUAGAUACUGCAGACACUGAGCAAAUUAUACUUACCUAGCAGUUGCAGUAUUUCAGCCAUGGAGUCAUAAUCUUAGAAUAAAGUUCUCGGUGUUUAGGUGAAUCUGAGGAAAGUCCAAAAUAUUGCAACUGUUCCAGUUGUUUAAAUUGUAAGCAAAGACGUAUGCUGGCUUAAACACAUCAACAAGACAACAAAACACUCAUUUCAUAUGCUGGCUCCAGUGAUGUUAAUUCAGCUGCAGAUACUUCUGUUCUCAAAUAUUUAUCGACAGUACCUGUGUCAGAUGUACUGGCAAACAUGUUAUAUCUUCAUUUUUGUCGAGCCCGCUUGCGGAAGCAAAGAUAGAUGUCCAAAUGGCUGUUCUGUGUAUGUGCGUGUGUGCGUCCGUCCGUCCGUCAGGAUUU
rnacentral:lncRNA from 1 species